rnacentral:rRNA from 1 species
AACGAACGCUGGCGGCAGGCUUAACACAUGCAAGUCGAGCGCAUCCUUCGGGGUGAGUGGCAGACGGGUGAGUAACGCGUGCGAACGUGCCCUUCAGUUCGGGAUAACCCAGGGAAACUUGGGCUAAUACCGGAUACGUGCGAGAGCAGAAAGAUUUAUCGCUGAAGGAUCGGCCCGCGUCUGAUUAGCUAGUUGGUGGGGUAAUGGCCCACCAAGGCGACGAUCAGUAGCUGGUCUGAGAGGAUGAUCAGCCACAUUGGGACUGAGACACGGCCCAAACUCCUACGGGAGGCAGCAGUGGGGAAUAUUGGACAAUGGGCGCAAGCCUGAUCCAGCCAUGCCGCGUGAGUGAUGAAGGCCUUAGGGUUGUAAAGCUCUUUCGUCCGGGACGAUAAUGACGGUACCGGAAGAAGAAGCCCCGGCUAACUUCGUGCCAGCAGCCGCAGUAA